rnacentral:rRNA from 1 species
UACGAAGGGGGCUAGCGUUGUUCGGAAUUACUGGGCGUAAAGGGUUCGUAGGUGGCUUGCUAAGUCAGACGUGAAAUCCCUCAGCUUAACUGGGGAACUGCGUCUGAUACUGGCGAGCUUGAGUGCAGGAGAGGAACGCGGAAUUCCAGGUGUAGCGGUGAAAUGCGUAGAUAUCUGGAGGAACACCGGUGGCGAAGGCGGCGUUCUGGACUGCAACUGACACUGAGGAACGAAAGCCAGGGGAGCAAACGGG